UCAAGCGCGAAAAGGGCGUUUGGUGAAUGCCUUGGCAGUAAGAGGCGAUGAAAGACGUGAUACUCUGCGAUAAGCCAUGGGGAGCCGAGAAUAGGCCUUGAUCCAUGGAUUUCUGAAUGGGGCAACCCACCUGAUACUUCGUUAUUACUGAUCUUCGGAUCAGCUAAUAACCUGGUAAACCAGGUAUUUUUAACCUGAAUAUAUAGGGUUAAAAAAGCAAACCCGGGGAACUGAAACAUCUAAGUACCCGGAGGAAAGGAAAUCAAUAUGAUACUCCCCCAGUAGCGGCGAGCGAACGGGGACCAGCCGAGCCAUGAGUGUGAUUGGAAUGCGUUGGAAUGCGCAACCAAAGUGGGUGACAGUCCCGUACAAGAAGCACGAUUGGACGUAUUAAGUAGGGCGGGACACGUGAAAUCCUGUCUGAAGAUCGGAGGACCACCUUCGAAGGCUAAGUACUCCUUACUGACCGAUAGCGAACCAGUACCGUGAGGGAAAGGUGAAAAGCACCCCGACGAGGGGAGUGAAACAGUACCUGAAACCGAACGCCUACAAUCAGUUGGAGCAUCCUUGCGAUGUGACAGCGUACCUUUUGUAUAAUGGGUCAUCGACUUGGUCUCACGAGCAAGCUUAAGCCGUUAGGUGUAGGCGCAGCGAAAGCGAGUCUUAAUAGGGCGUCGAGUUCGUGGGAUCAGACCCGAAACCGAGUGAUCUAGGCAUGGCCAGGUUGAAGAUAAGGUAACACUUAUUGGAGGACCGAACCCACAUCUGUUGAAAAAGAUCGGGAUGAGCUGUGCCUAGGGGUGAAAGGCCAAUCAAACUCGGAGAUAGCUGGUUCUCUGCGAAAUCUAUUUAGGUAGAGCGUCGACCGAAUACCCUCGGGGGUAGAGCACUGGAUGGGUAAUGGGGCCCCACAGGCUUACUGAUCCUAACCAAACUCCGAAUACCGAGGAGUACUAGUCGGCAGACACACGGCGAAUGCUAACGUCCGUCGUGGAGAGGGAAACAACCCUAACCUACAGCUAAGGCCCCUAAUUCAUGGCUAAGUGGGAAAGCAAGUGAGACGACCAAAACAACCAGGAGGUUGGCUUAGAAGCAGCCAUCCUUUAAAGAUAGCGUAACAGCUCACUGGUCUAAAUAAGUUGUCUUGCGGCGAAGAUGUAACGGGGCUCAAGCCAUGAGCCGAAGCUUAGGAUGCACAUAGUUGCAUGGUAGCAGAGCGUAGUGUGACAUAGUUCCAUGUGUCCUUAUCGUCCUUCGGGACGUAUUGGACACGCGAAGCUUUCUGUGAAGCCGGCGCGUGAGCGAUCCGGUGGAGAGAUCACUAGUGAGAAUGAUGACAUGAGUAGCGACAAAGAGUGUGAGAGACACUCUCGCCGAAAGUCCAAGGGUUCCUGCUUAAAGCUAAUCUGAGCAGGGUAAGCCGACCCCUAAGGCGAGGCCGAAAGGCGUAGUCGAUGGGAACCAGGUUAAUAUUCCUGGGCCAGAUGGAAGUGACGGAUCUCGAGGGUCGUUCAUCCUUAUCGGAUUGAAUGGGCGGCUUAGAGGUCCCUGGAAAUAGCUCCAUCAUCAGAUCGUACCCUAAACCGACACAGGUGGACAGGUAGAGAAUACCAAGGCGCUUGAGAGAACGAUGUUGAAGGAACUCGGCAAAAUACCUCCGUAAGUUCGCGAGAAGGAGGCCCAGUUUCAACGCAAGUUUUGGCUGGGGGCACAAACCAGGGGGUGGCGACUGUUUACUAAAAACACAGGGCUCUGCGAAGUCGCAAGACGACGUAUAGGGUCUGACGCCUGCCCGGUGCCGGAAGGUUAAAAGGAGGAGUGCAAGCUCCGAAUUGAAGCCCCGGUAAACGGCGGCCGUAACUAUAACGGUCCUAAGGUAGCGAAAUUCCUUGUCGGGUAAGUUCCGACCUGCACGAAUGGCGUAACGACUUCCCCG
rnacentral:rRNA from 1 species